rnacentral:rRNA from 1 species
AUUGAACGCUGGCGGCAUGCCUUACACAUGCAAGUCGAACGGCAGCACGGGGGCAACCCUGGUGGCGAGUGGCGAACGGGUGAGUAAUACAUCGGAACGUGCCCGAUAGUGGGGGAUAGCUCGGCGAAAGCCGGAUUAAUACCGCAUACGACCUACGGGUGAAAGCGGGGGAUCGCAAGACCUCGCGCUAUCAGAGCGGCCGAUGUCAGAUUAGGUUGUUGGUGGGGUAAAGGCCUACCAAGCCGACGAUCUGUAGCUGGUCUGAGAGGACGACCAGCCACACUGGGACUGAGACACGGCCCAGACUCCUACGGGAGGCAGCAGUGGGGAAUUUUGGACAAUGGGCGAAAGCCUGAUCCAGCCAUGCCGCGUGCGGGAAGAAGG